rnacentral:misc_RNA from 1 species
GUGAAUCAUCGAAUCUUUGAACGCAAAUUGCACUCUCUGGUAUUCCGGAGAGUAUGCCUGUUUGAGGGUCAGUAUAAAUAAAAAUCGAGGUGUUGCUUAUGGUGACGCCAUCGGAAGUUGGUUAUCUUUAAUCUUAAUAAAGGUUUAAAGUGACCUAAAAUAUAUGAUACCUUGUGCAUCUCAAGACGUACAUAAGAAUUUUUUUUUGAUCCGUCCGUAUUUGGCCAAAUGCUGAUUA